AGACGGAGGGAGCAAGCGUUGCUCGGAAUCACUGGGCGUAAAGGGCGUGUAGGCGGGACAGCAAGUCGGGUGUGAAAGCCCUGGGCUCAACCCAGGAAGGGCAUUCGAUACUACUGUUCUUGAGUAUGACAGAGGAAAGCGGAAUUCCCGGUGUAGCGGUGAAAUGCGUAGAUAUCGGGAAGAACACCUGUGGCGAAGGCGGCUUUCUGGGUCACAACUGACGCUGAGGCGCGAAAGCUAGGGGAGCGAACGGAAUUAGAAACCCCGGUAGUCC
rnacentral:rRNA from 1 species